rnacentral:rRNA from 1 species
ACGGAGGGGGCAAGCGUUAUCCGGAAUCAUUGGGCGUAAAGGGCGCGUAGGCGGGCUGGUAAGUCUGGAGUGAAAUCCCUGCGCUUAAGGGGGGAAUUGCUUUGGAUACUGUCUGGCUUGAGUGCAGGAGAGGUAAGUGGAAUUCCCGGUGUAGCGGUGAAAUGCGUAGAGAUCGGGAGGAACACCAGUGGCGAAGGCGACUUACUGGACUGUAACUGACGCUGAGGCGCGAAAGUGUGGGGAGCAAACAG